rnacentral:rRNA from 1 species
GACAGAGGGUGCGAACGUUGUUCGGAAUUACUGGGCGUAAAGCGCAUGUAGGCGGCAACGCAAGUCGGGCGUGAAAUCCCACGGCUCAACCGUGGAAGUGCACUCGAAACUGCGUAGCUAGAGUCCUGGAGAGGAAGGUGGAAUGCUUGGUGUAGAGGUAAAAUUCGUAGAUAUCAAGCGGAACACCGGUGGCGAAGGCGGCCUUCUGGACAGUGACUGACGCUGAGAUGCGAAAGCGUGGGGAGCAAACAGG